AAUUAUUUACUUUCGUUUUUGUUUAUUUACGUAGGAAAGAUAAGGAACAUUGAAACGAGUCUGUCUUUCUCAAGACUGGACGUUACACUGCGCUGCAGAGUUCCUGUUUAUUUGCAUUACAGGUAGAAAGUUACGUGAUGGCAUGUGCUAAUCUAGCGCUAACCUGAACUAGGAAAUAUCGGCAUUAUUAUUUGAACACUAACGUAUCAUUAGAUUGCCGUUAACCACAAGCGAGGCCUUCGGUGGUGUUAUACUUUGGAUUUUUACGCACUGAUGCAGCUAGCCUCAAUUUCUUUUUCUAAAUGUUGGAUACUAGAGAUCGGCGAAACCACGCGAAAAUUUGAAAGUUCUCAGUUUUUGCUUCUAUUAUUGAACAUGUUCUUCUCCGAUAAACCUGUCUUCCCGUUGAAAUCGGGUGUCAAAUUCAGUGUUAUACCCGAAACACUAGAGAGUCCCUUUAAAGAACAUUUUCCAGCUUACUACAAAGGACUAGUUCGUGGAGAACCCGGUGGAUUUGUCCUGCAUCCGAAAUUUGUCAGCAAUGCGGACAAGAUUUACAAUAUGACAGUUAGAAGUACCGACCUUUGGAUCCGGACUUUCCCGAGAUCUGGAAUGACUUGGACAUCUGAAUUGGCUUGGCUCAUUAUGAAUGAUUGCAAUUUUAGUGAAGCUCUUGAAGUGCCACUGAGUGUUCGUUCCCACACUGUCGAUACAAAUUAUUUUACCAAUUGGGACGUUCUUGCUCCUUCAGAGAUAAUGGAUGCACGUCAUUGUCAAUCUAUCGAAAAGAUGGAACAGCUGCCGUCGCCCAGAAUUUUAAAAUCUCAUUUACCUUUCCACUUGUUGCCUCCACGAUUGCUCAACACUGCCAAAGUCAUUUUCGUUGUCCGCAAUCCCAAAGACGCCAUAGUUUCCUUCUUCCACUUUCACAAGUUGGUGAAACUAUGUUACUUUGCCGGAGAAAUGGAUCAGUUUGUUGACUAUUUUAUCGACAACAAAGUGGCAUGGACUCCAUAUUUCUCCUCUGUUCUUGAUGCUUGGGGGAAACGUAAUCACCCCAAUCUGCUAAUUUUAUUCUACGAAGACAUGAUCAAGAACGGUGACUGAAGAACAAAUAGGAAAACUGGUGGAUCACGUUCGUGUCGAUUCGCAAAGGGAUCGGCCCAACAUUUCAAUUAAGGCCAGCGUGACAAAUAAUGAUUGUUUAUUCAUUCGGCAAGGAAAAACAAACGACUGGAAGAAUUAUUUUAGUCCAGAAGUUAAUGUUAAAAUUGACGAGUGGAUCAAGAACAAUUUGGAUGGGAGCGAUUUGAAUUUUGCCACUGUUCUCCAGAAUUAACACGAAUUCAAAGUAUCAUUUUA
rnacentral:misc_RNA from 1 species